AAUGAACAGGUUUACCAACAGUGUGUUUGUUUACAUUGUUGUGACAAAUUUCUGAUUCAACAAUGAUUGAUAAAUUAUACACACACACACACACACAUAUUUUUGGCCUAAAUUUUCACCAUGUAUUAUUAAACAGGAAGAGGUGGAGUCUCUGGAACAUUCUGUAAGUGAGUAUAUUCAUAAGCACUCAUUUCUCUGAAACGCAGUCAGCAGUCUAAUAGUCAAAGUAAAAGUAACAGUGAACCUUCUCUCAUUCCUCCUAUCUGUGGUUUGCACAUCACUUGUUUUCCAACGGACUCUUUGUACAUCAAGUAACUGGACUGAUAUUUUACCUUCAAAAUGGUUCACGGAAAUAUCAGAUAUUUUGUCAUGACCACUGGGAACACCAGAGAUUCCCACAAGACCUUUCUAGAUCAUCUCACAAUGUCAUCAAAGCUUCAUGAAGUCCAAGCCGUAAAUAAGAGUGAUGUCAUCGUUGCUUUUGUCCCAGUCGUGUCUCGAGCUGGUUCUAACGUUCGGUCUGCAAUGGAAAUCAUUCCUAAGGAUAAGCCUGUCGUUCUCGUGAUGCUCCACCACACCUUUGAUCCGGACAUUGUUGUUCAAGACGUCAGACCCUAUGUGGACAGGACAGAUGUGUUCGUUGUUGAUUGUCUCUUUCAUGAAGAUCAAGGGCUGUUGAGAUGCCUGCGCAACGAUGACGCAAUCAAAGCUGUAAAGGAUCAUCUGAGCAGAAUGAAGGUAGAGUCCUGAAUGUCACCCCUUUGAAAUUACAGGCAAAUUCCAUUAUCAUGAGAGUAAUGGAGAGGUAAAGGAAGUGGAAUUAAAGCAGAAACGUGUCUCACAAAUAAAACAUACACAAUGUUCCCCUCGUUGCUUGCUCGGUUUAAACAAACUGUACAAUGCUGAACAGAGAAAACACAAAGUCUCUGCUGCCGACUACUGGUCAAAAAUGAUCACUUCACUGUAUUUUGCAUGUGCAGUGUUUGUUUUUUUAUAGAAAGAAAAUUAUCGGUCCAUUUAUUGGUGUUGGUGCUGGUGGUUUAUAUUGGUGGUUGGAGAGAGAGAGGGGGGGAGAGAGAGAGAGACAGAAAAAGAGAGAGAGAGAGAGAGAGAGAGAGAGAGAGUCAUGUUAUUGUUUAAUGCUGAAAUGAUGUUUAAAUGAACAUAUUUCAAUUGUCAUUUUAUCAUUUUCUGAAAUCACAAAUAAUUUCAUUUCAUUUUCAACUGAAUAUUGUAAUACAAAACUAAAAUUAUUUCUAUCUUCAUAUGAUUACAGAGUUUUAGUAAUGAUAUAUAAUUUCUUCAUGAUGAGCAGAAAUACUAAAUACUUCUUAUUACUUAAAACAUUCUUAGGAAUUGUAACAAUACCUCAACAUUUCCAUUUUAAUGUGCAGAUUUGAUUGAUUUAUGGUUCUUAGCGUAGUGUUUACAGGUUAGCCGUUUUCUCCCAGUUUAAUCAGGAAGCUCAUUUCUGACCAUUUCACAUAAGAUCCCAGUUGAGGAGAGUUUACAAAGCUGAUCAAUCGAACUGCUCAGAUUCACCGCAUGCAUCCAGCAGUUUACUGUUCAUCAGGAUCUAAUAGAAUUUCUUAAUGCAUCGAAAUAUAUGAAGAAUUCUGUGUAAAGUGUAUUGUGUGUGUGUGUGUGUGUGUGUCAUGUAUAUUUGUGAAAACUUCUGCUGAAUAAAUAAAUAAAACAAAUAAAGAGAAUAAAAACCCUC